rnacentral:lncRNA from 1 species
ACAAAGCAAACAAAAACAUGAAGAGAGGAAAAGACACCUUCUUCAACAAAUGGUGCUGGGAUAACUGGCUAGCCACAUGUAAGAGAAUGAAACUGGAUCCUCAUCUCUCACCUUAUACAAAAAUUGACUCAAGAUGGAUUAAGGACUUAAAUCUAAGGCCUAAAACUAUAAAGAUUCUAGAAGAUAACAUUGGAAAAACCCUUCUAGACAUUGGCUUAGGCAAUAAUUUCAUGAAUAAGAACCCAAAAACAAAUGCAAUUAAAAAAAGAUAAAUAGUUGGUACUUGGUUAAACUAAAGAGCUUUUGCACAGCAAAAGGAACUGUCAGCAGAGUAAACAACACACAGAGUGGAAGAAAAUCUUCACAAUCUAUACAUCUGACAAAGGACUAAUAUCCAGAAUCUACAAUGAACUCAAACAAAUCAGUAAGAAAAAAAACAAACAAUCCCACCAAAAACUAGACUAAGGACACGAAUAGACAAUUCUCAAAAGAAGCAUACAAAUGGCCGAAAAACAUAUGAAAAAAUGCUCAACAUCACUAAUGAUCAGGGAAAUGCAAAUCAAAACCACAAUGCAUUACCACCUUACUCCUGCAAGAAUGGCCAUAAUUGAAAAGUCAAAAAACAGUAGCUGUUGGCAUGGAUGUGGUGAUCAGGGAACACUUCUACACUGCUGGUGGGAAUGUAAACUAUUACAGCCACUAUGGAAAACAGUGUGGAGAUUCCUUAAAGAACUAAAAUUUAGUUCUAGAACUAACUUUUGAUCUAGAACUACCAUUUGAUCCAGCAAUCCUGCUACUGGGUAUCUACCCAGAGGAAAAGAAGUCAUUAUAUGAAAAAGAUUAUGGGCACAAGCAUGUUUAUAGUGGCACAAUUCGCAAUUGCAAAAUUAUGGAACCAAUCCAAACGCCCAUCAAUCAACAAGUGGAUAAAGAAACUGUGGUAUAUGAUGGAAUACUAAUCAGCCAUAAAAAGGAAUGAAUUAACGGACUUUGCAGUGACCUGGAUGAGACUGGAGACUAUUAUUCUAAGUGAAGUAACUCAGGAAUGGAAAACCAAACAUUGUAUGUUCCCACUGAUAUGUGGGAGCUAAACUACGAGGACGCAAAGGCAUAAGAAUGAUACAAUGGACUCUGGGGACUUGGGAGGAAAGGUGAGAAGGGGGCGAGGGAUAAAAGACUACAAAUAGGGUGCAGUGUAUACUGCUGGGGUGACGGGUGCACCAAAAUCUUAUAAAUCACCACUGAAGAAAUUACUCAUGUAACCAAAUACCACCUGUACCCCAAUAACUUAUGGAAAAAUAAAAAAUUAAAAAAUACAUUAAAAAUAAAUAAAUAAAAAAGAAUCACUCAUGUCUCUUGGAGGAAAUUCAUCUCUUAAGUACCUUGAAGUGUCCUCAGACAUGCAAGAAGAUGUACCUUAUUGUGCCCUUCAAACAUCUAAGAUAAUGAUUUGCAACAGACUUUCUCCCUUAAGAGAAAAAUAGGCAUAGCUCUAUAGGAAUAUUUUCUUGUCCAUUCUUCAAGGAGUUUUGUGUGGCUGGAUUGCAUAUUAUAAUACUCAGUUGUCUGAGAGAUUGUGCUGUCACAGGGUUUUCAUACAGUUCUACUGAGUCAGGCAUUCAGACACUGUUGACUGCCUAGCCCAACUGUCAUACCGCACUUCUUCCUGGCUAACAAAACUCUGAUUUCAUUCAUGUGGCCAUGUGUACAGGCCCAGAUAAUCAACUGUGGUUGGUGUGAACCAGUCAUGACAACCCCAUGUCCUUUCAUCAGUUAUUUACUCAGAGUUGAACAGGUGAUCCAGUUCUGACCAUUGAGACAUAUGGAGAAGUUACUGUGGAGUUCUGUAAAAGGAAUCUCUGCCCCCAUCCCCACCUCCAUUAACACAGAGAUACAGGGGAAGAAACUCAUUUUACUUCCUAACCUGC